ACAAGCGGUGGAUGAUGUGGAUUAAUUCGAUGCAACGCGAAAACCUUACCUACCUUGACAUGUCCAGAACCCUGCAGAGAUGCGGGGUGCCGAAGGGAAUUGGAACACAGGUGCUGCAUGGCUGUCGUCAGCUCGUGUCGUGAGAUGUUGGGCUAAGUCCCGCAACGAGCGCAACCCUUAUCAUUAGUUGCUACGCAAGGGCACUCUAAUGAGACUGCCGGUGACAAACCGGAGGAAGGUGGGGAUGACGUCAAGUCCUCAUGGCCCUUAUGGGUAGGGCUUCACACGUCAUACAAUGGUCGGUACAGAGGGUUGCCAAGCCGCGAGGUGGAGCCAAUCCCAGAAAGCCGAUCGUAGUCCGGAUUGUUCUCUGCAACCCGCCUGCAUGAAGAUGGAGUUGCUAGUAACCGCAGGUCAGCUAUACUGCGGUGAAUACGUUCCCGGGGCUU
rnacentral:rRNA from 1 species